UACGUAGGGCGCAAGCGUUGUCCGGAUUUAUUGGGCGUAAAGAGCUCGUAGGCGGUUUGUCGCGUCGGUUGUGAAAACCCGCAGCUUAACUGUGGGCGUGCAGUCGAUACGGGCAGACUAGAGGCAUGCAGGGGAGAAUGGAAUUCCUGGUGUAGCGGUGAAAUGCGCAGAUAUCAGGAGGAACACCGGUGGCGAAGGCGGCCUUCUGGACGGUGACUGACGCUGAGGCGCGAAAGCGUGGGGAGCAAACGGG
rnacentral:rRNA from 1 species